AGGCUCACUUUGGCAGCACAUAUACUAAAAUUGGAGCCAUACCGAGAAGAUUAGCAUGGCUCCUGUGCUAGUAUGACAUGCAAAUUCAUGAGAAUUCCAUAUUUUAA
ensembl:snRNA U6 U6 spliceosomal RNA